ensembl:lncRNA
UAGAUUCUCUCUGACUCCCUCUUCUGAACAUGCUGUGGCUUAAUUUUUAUGGGGAUUUCAUAUAGUUUUCUUUUUUCAUAUAGUUUUCUUUAUCUCAUAAAAUUUAAUUUCUGCUCCCUGUUAUUUCUACUUCAGUUCUUUGUUUUCUUUACAACAGGGUGCUUCAACGAUGUGCUUAUCAAACAUAAAAAAUGAGGGCCCUUGACUGGGCUGUCAAAGAGUUGCUAGAGGAAACCAGUAAAGCUGGAGGAUAGCUGAGGCGUUUGUUGCUGACAGCACUCAAGUGGAGAUGUAUGAGCUCACAACUGAACUACCAAGGCUUUGUAACUCCUGCAUGUCAGCUGAGCCACAUAAAUGUCUGUGCACAUGCUCUUAUCCUGCUGCAACUGUGAGCCCCGGUGGAGUUUGCAUCUGACCUGGCAUUAAAAGGAAGGACUCAUACUUGGCAUAUAUUCUUUCAGAUUAAAAUUGCAAAUGACUGGCAUGCUACAGAGAACCAUCCGCUACUACCAACUGCCAGCUUCCCCUAAAAUGUGCUGGGCUGCCUCAGAUGACACUUUAUUCCUCCUGGCUUCUCAAAACUACAGCCCCAGAUUGCUGCUUCCUACAGAGGAACUGGAUGAUGGAAUAAAAUUGGGAGACCACGUUCGCCAUCUCCUGGGCAGAAGGCAUAAGCUUCCAGGAAAGUUUAUUUUAUAUUAUUCCUUCCUUCCUCUUGUUCAUUUGUGAAAGACCAAGACCUCAGGAGAAGUCUAGGAAACUUGCUGGCUUGUCAUGCCAGCUCUGACCUACUGCAUUCACUCUUUUUCCUGUGAGAUUGUAAAAUAAGAUACUGUGUAAUGACUGUAUUAUGUAAUUAAAGUUUCUGACUAAGGGGUCAAGAAGCUAGAAAAGGGACUGGGGAGGUGGGAUUCUUCAGUGUCCAACACUACUGAUUUGUUACAACCAUAAGGACCUACUUUACCUCUCUACAGGUUAGUGAGUUGACUCCAUUAAGGGGUAUGUGAGAAGGACUGGUGAAAUCAUUGACCUGGUUUACUUUUAUAGGGUUUCCUGUUAUUCUUGAAAUUAUAUUCUUCAGCCUGUAAACAGAAUUAUUCUGACUCAAAAUAACAAAUUUUAAAGCAGAUAAGGAUAUGCCACUGCUAGAUGUCGUUGUUCAUAACACCAAGAACUGAGAUCAAGCUGGGAUGUUGUGAUUUUAAAGAGAGAAGCCAUUCACUUAUCAAGGUCUAUCACAAAUUUGUUACAAAACAAGUCUAUAGCGGUUCUAAUCUGGGCAUUGGGUCCCAUACAUAUUCUUAAACUCUGUUACCUCCGAUAAAGAUCAGAUACCAAACAAAUUAUGAAACUAGUAUUUUUGUUCUUAGUUCAAAACAGUUCUAAAACAGAUUAUUGGUAAUGAAAUAAUUUGUUUGAAGUUUAAGAAUACCGCCUCAGUUAAGAACAAAACAAAAUCUUUUCAUAGGAGAUAGGAGAUAGUUCUGGGAGAGCUUGACUAUGUAAAUUUCACAUACUAAAACCAAAACUUAAUGCAGGGUAACUACUAUUGCUUCACCAAAUUUUACAGGACUCGUGACAGUCUUCUGCAUUUUAAACCAAUGUUCAAAAAGUGUUAUGAUUCCUAGCUUACGCUCCAAUUAAAAGCUUCUUUACCCUAAGUUGUUCUUCGUGCUCUUAACCCCCAAAUCCAUGUGACUUUUCGCCUGAAGUACAUUUUCCUGCAGUCACUUUCAGUAAGAGGAAUCACAGUUUCUUUUUACAAAUAAUACUUAGAAUGUAAUGUUUUAAGUGCCUUUUGAAUACUUGGAUACAGUCAGAUCCAGCACCAUGUCUGAACUGUGAAAUUACAAUUUAAAUUCAACUUGUAUAUUCAUAUUUUACAAACAAAUUUCUCACUAGGUGCUUUGCCUGCUCUAAGUGAAUUGUCACUUCACAAACUGUGUGUGUAGGAGUUGUUUUUUCUACUCCUCAAAUAAUACUAGAAUGAAGAUUGACUUUUUGAGCUCUACUUCACAGUGAAGGUUUGUGGUUUCCUGGGAGAAAGGAGUUCAUUCAGAUGAUUCAGGUACUAUGGCAGCUCUAUUUUUUAUUAAUAUCCUUGGAUCAGACUUCUACAGAAAUGAACGACUGUGGUGACCCCCUUCAAAGGAGAAGCUUGUGAGUGAAAAACGGCUACUACGAUGCUGAAAGGUACAGAAAAGAGAGUUUACUAUGCUUAGUCCUUACAAGUGCAGGAGAAUUUCACUGUUCGCUGUAAGUACAAGGGAAAAACAGAAGCUGGCAGAGAACUAAGCUAAAGGGAAGCGUUGGCACAGGAACAAGCUGGUAAUAAAAUAGUGAUGAAUACAUUUAGGCUAGCCUAC